rnacentral:rRNA from 1 species
GACGAACGCUGGCGGCGUGCUUAACACAUGCAAGUCGAACGGUGACGGAGAGCUUGCUCUCCUGAUCAGUGGCGAACGGGUGAGUAACACGUGGGCAACCUGCCCAGACUUCGGGAUAACGCUUCGAAAGAGGUGCUAAUACCGGAUACGAGCUCCUUGGGCAUCCUUGGAGUUGGAAAAGUUUUUCGGUCUGGGAUGGGCCCGCGGCCUAUCAGCUAGUUGGUGAGGUAACGGCUCACCAAGGCGACGACGGGUAGCCGGCCUGAGAGGGCGACCGGCCACACUGGGACUGAGACACGGCCCAGACUCCUACGGGAGGCAGCAGUGGGGAAUAUUGCGCAAUGGGCGAAAGCCUGACGCAGCAACGCCGCGUGAGGGAUGACGG